AUCCACCUACCUCGGCCUCCCAAAGUGCUAGUACUACAGGCGUGAGCCACCGCGCCCAGCCAGAAGAAGAGUCUUUUCUUACACAUCUUAUUGCCCACAAUGUCAGCACAGUAUUUUGCAAAUAACAGGUGCCCGAAUAGAAUUUUUGAACAAACCACUGAUUUUUUAAAAAAUUCUAUGAGGUAAUAGAGAUGGAAAACACUGUAAAUUUUUAAAAUUUCUAUCCAAAUAUCAUGCCUUGACAUUUUUUCUCAAGUCAGAGACACCGUGUUAUAGAACAGAGUUAGCAGGCCUGAAUACAAACCAAUUCUUGAGACUCAUCCCGGCUGUCUCCUGCACUUCUAAAGAUUGAAAGAUAUUUUAAUCUUCCAUCCUAAAGAUGAAAGCAUAUGCUAUCUAUAUUGCACUGCUUGGUUCUUCUAUGUGACACUGCUUGCCCAUCUAAUGGGGGUGGCUGCUUUUCAAGCACAUGCAGUUUUUCAAGGGUCCAUCACUCUCAUCAGAUGAUGAGCUCCAUAGGAACCGAGUCCGUAUUUACAGCUCUCUGCGUUCUCAGGAGUCAGCAUAAUGGAGGCCAAAGGGAAGGCCCUCACUGAUUGUUUACUGCUGACCAUGAUGGUUUUACCCAUUCCAUAGCCCAGAUUCCAGGCAGAGGCAGCUGCUAAGGCUUUGAAUAUAUGACCCAUUUUCCUUUAUUCUUUUAGAGUUCUUUUGAGAAAAGAAGCACUUAAGAGAACUAAGGCACGGAUUGAGGAUGCUGUGAUUUUUUACUACAGCUGUUAAUUAUUAGCUGAUGAAUGAAAAAAGGAAGUAUUAAAUGCACAGCUGGUCAAGAUCACUCCAUCAGAUAGAAAGAGAAACUAUUCUUGACACAAGGAUGCAAAAAUAAAAUGUGUGACCUGAAGAAACUCACAAUGCAUGAGUGAGGAAUGGACAAUUCCAGUACCCACUGGGGUCAAGGCCAUGCCAGAAAAAAGCAGGUGGCAUUGUGGGAAGUUCACGGUGAGACACACUCCCCAGUCUCAAGAAGCCUCCUGGAUGGAGGAGCUGACAUCUGAGACAAGUGUUGACAGACUUACGGACUGGUAGGAUUGGGUGAGGAGAAGUGGAAAAGGCCUCUCCAGCACCUAUGAAAGACUAAUUUUGAGAAAACAUCACCCAUUCGACAAAGUGCAAAUUAUUUAGUACAACAGCCAAGAGAUAAGCAGGAUGAGAAAACCAGGGGAAGCAGCAGUAAGAACCUGUUCAAGAAGGCACAUCUCAGAUGUGGAAGAACCAUGAUUCAACUCGAGUCCGUCUGCUUCCCAAGACUGUGGUAUUUAAACAGCUUAUAACGAAAAUUCCUUCUAUAGCUCCCCAUAAAAGGGCACACAGUUCUUUCUUAAUGUAUUAUUUCAGGCAUUCAUUCACCACUCAUGUAUUUGUGAAGGUGUUCUCACUAAAUAAACUAUUGGAACCUUA